UUGGACGCUGGCGGCAUGCCUUACACAUGCAAGUCGAACGGCAGCACGGGGGCAACCCUGGUGGCGAGUGGCGAACGGGUGAGUAAUACAUCGGAAUGUACCCAGUAGUGGGGGAUAACUAGUCGAAAGAUUAGCUAAUACCGCAUACGCACUAUGGUGGAAAGCGGGGGAUCGCAAGACCUCGCGCUAUUGGAGCAGCCGAUGUCCGAUUAGGUAGUUGGUGGGGUAAAAGCCUACCAAGCCCGCGAUCGGUAACUGGUCUGAGAGGACGACCAGUCACACUGGGACUGAGACACGGCCCAGACUCCUACGGGAGGCAGCAGUGGGGAAUUUUGGACAAUGGGCGAAAGCCUGAUCCAGCCAUGCCGCGUGCAGGAUGAAGGCCUUCGGGUUGUAAACUGCUUUUGUACGGAACGAAAAAGUCUUCUCUAAUACAGGGGGCGAAUGACGGUACCGUAAGAAUAAGCACCGGCUAACUACGU
rnacentral:rRNA from 1 species